GACGAACGCUGGCGGCGUGCUUAACACAUGCAAGUCGAACGGAGCUAUUUAUUUCGGUAGAUAGCUUAGUGGCAAACGGGUGAGUAACGCGUAGGCAACCUGCCCUUAGGAUGGGGACAACGGCCCGAAAGGACCGCUAAUACCGAAUGGACUCUAACUUUCGCAUGAAAGAAAGAGGAAAGAUGGUGCAAGCCAUCGCCGAAGGAAGGGCCUGCGUCUGAUUAGCCAGUUGGUGAGGUAACGGCUCACCAAAGCGACGAUCAGUAGCCGGUCUGAGAGGAUGAACGGCCACAAUGGGACUGAGACACGGCCCAUACUCCUACGGGAGGCAGCGGUGGGGAAUCUUCCGCAAUGGGCGAAAGCCUGACGGAGCAACGCCGCGUGAGUGAAGAAGGUCUUCGGAUCGUAAAGCUCUGUUGUUGGGGACGAAAGGAAAAGGGAGGAAAUGCCCUUUUA
rnacentral:rRNA from 1 species